rnacentral:rRNA from 1 species
CCCUAGUAUUAAGAUUAGUAUUUAAUUAGUAUUAGUGAAAUUUAAUAAUUUUGGCGGUUGAUUAAUAUUUAGAGGAGCUUGUAUUUAAUAGAAUUUACUCUUUAUAUUUUAUUAAUGAUUUAAUUUAUUCAUCUCCGUUAUUAAUUUUUAAAUGAUAAGGUUUGAGAAAAUUGUUAUUUAGAAUUUCAGGUCAAGAUGUAGUCUUUAUUAAAAGAUAUUAGCUACAUUUAUGAAAUUAGUGGAUUAUGAAAAAUUUAAGGUAGAGUUAUAGUAAAUUGAAUUUAGAUGUAAUAGUAAUUAAAAUAUUAUUGUGAAUAACUUUGAUUAAUGUA